rnacentral:lncRNA from 1 species
GUUAGGGUGGGAAGUCUUUCCUUAAUGCAGACGACUUUUGCUGAGGAGCCAUCUCUAUGCGGCUGCUGGGGGGCAGGGUGAGGGGCUGGAGAGGAGGUGCUGCCACUAUGGACAGCUCUUGAGGAACAGCUCCUGCAGUGGUGAUUUUUGAAAAACUAUGGGCUGAGGUAGGGAUGAUGCAGCCACCAUGGAUAGCUCCUGCAGCGCCUGUGAUGGCUGCAGGCUGAGGGGAUGCCGCCAUUUUGACAGGAGCCGCCAUUCUGGACAGCUCCUGUGGGACAUUUCACUGCUGGGGCAGGAAGGAGGGGCCUGGUGCCACUGCUUGGAGGGCUUUUGUGGUGUGCUGCUCUUGGACUAAUUUCUGAAGAGCAACCCAGUCUCUGUCUCCUGUUACAAGAGUGAAUGAAGAAUUCAACUGAACUUGGCCACAAACUCGAAUUCAACCAAGACUUUUCUUGUGCUUGCUCUGUCAGCCAAAGAAAUGCCUUUAUCUACAAUGUGCCAGCCAUUAUGAAGGGGGGCACAGAAGACUUCCCCUUACGUUACACAUUUUAAACACUCUGGAAAAACAGACAGCCGGCAGUAAAUAUGCAAACACUGUUGCCACUGGCAGGAGAAAGGACAAGGUGCAUCUUCACUGAGCAGGCAUCCUUAAGAAGGAAAAAGAAGACGCAGGGGCACCGAGUGCUGCCUUCUGGGAAGAUAUCAAAAACAUUCUACAGAAAACUUCAGAAGGCUUUGCCAAAGGGGCUCUCCUCCAGCUGGGCCAGUGGAUGGUGGGGAAGGAAGUCACCGUGGGGAAGGGGCCCUGGUGCAGCACGGUCAUCUACAAAGGCUGAAGCCUCUUCAGUAGGAACCGCACCUUUCAAGGCAGCACCGGGAUGUGGCCCAGAGGAAGCCUCUGAGGACUUAGCCCCCAGCACAGCAGCAUCAGCCACUCAGCCCGGGGAAAGUGGGAUGGCAACAAGGCCAGAUGAACAGAUUGCUCGUAAUCCUUCACUGUCGUAUGGAAGUGUGUGGAUUGCUGACUGCACAGGCUCACAGUGUGGGAGCUGUUGGUCUCAUCUGUAUCUGAUUAAAGCCGAGCAUUGCAAUUUGGCUCAG